ACGGAAAUCAAGCAUGAUUUCUUGUACAAUAAAUGCAAGACGCAAGUUUUAUCGCGAGGCAUGAUCAGCUGACACGCAUAAGCGGCAUGAUUGAUCCUCAUUGUCGGCUGGCCGACACUACUAUAUUUACCAACAAGGCGUCUCUCUUAAUUAAAACGUUACAGUCCUUACCGACAAACCGGAACUCUGCUAACGUGUCAGGACCGGCUGACGUUCCGCGUGUUCGUUAAUCGCUGCUUAGAAUUAGUGGACACCUCGCGCGUUUCCUUCCUCGCAAUAACUAAUUUACAUCGAUCAUUUACAUUCUACAAACCGAUAUCAUUAAAUGAAAGACGAUAGACGAUCGUAGGGCCAUCCAUCAAUACGAAGAUAUCAUAUAAAUCAAAAUAAGAAGAAGCGUCAUUUCGUUUGGAUUGGCAAGAAGGAUAGAAAAUAGAACGAUAAUCCCCAAUGGAUCUACUCGAGGCUUUCACAUUGCCGGUAAAAGAAGUAAUGGCAGAAUGGUGGCGUUAGCAGCGUCGUCGGUGGUAGCGGCAGCAACAACAACAACAACAACAGUAACGGCAACGGCAACGGCAACGGCAACGGCAAUGGCAACGGCAACGUUAGCAGCAGGAACGGCAGCUUUAGCGAACGAAAACGAUCCAUCACGAACGUGACAGCCUCCCUCCUCGCUAGAAACAACUAACUAUGACAUUCUUCUCGCUGCCACUGCUUCCUCUUGCCUUUUCCACUAGACACGUACUUCUCUAUCCGACCUUUCGUUGCUCCAUGUAUUUCUUCCCUCUUCUUUUUCUUUCUCUCUCCCUCUCUCUCUCUCUCUCUCUCUCUCUCUCUCUCUCUUUCUUUCUUUCUUUCUUUCUUUCUCCCCUCUUUCUCUUUUACCGUAUUCACCUUCUUCCGAUAAGCAAUCGUGUGCUGAUUAAUAUCAACCCAACGACGCCAACUCGCUUCCGGUACCAAUCCCAAAAAUAUAAUAUAUACAUACAUACAUAUGUAGCUACUAACUUACGCUUUCUCUCUUUCACUUUCACUAUCAGUCCGAUCUAAUAUAUAAAUAUCGUCAAAACCAUUGAAAUUCGCCUUAUUGUUUAGGUGUUCUUUUUAUCGAUUUGACAUACACGUAACUAAAGUACUAAGCGUUCCCAUUAGUAAUACUUUUUCAUCCAUUAAUAAAUCCAAGAAGUAAGUGCAAA